rnacentral:rRNA from 1 species
UACAGAGGUCCCAAGCGUUGCUCGGAUUCAUUGGGCGUAAAGGGUGCGUAGGUGGCGCCAUAAGUCGGGUGUGAAAUCUCGGGGCUUAACUCCGAAACUGCAUUCGAUACUGUGGUGCUUGAGGACUGGAGAGGAGACUGGAAUUCAUGGUGUAGCAGUGAAAUGCGUAGAGAUCAUGAGGAAGACCAGUGGCGAAGGCGGGUCUCUGGACAGUUCCUGACACUGAGGCACGAAGGCCAGGGGAGCAAACGGG